GAAGAAGAUGGAAACGAAAAAAACAGAGAUAAAAAGAAAAAACACAACGAAUGAGACGAACAACUUUGGGCUCUUCUGCAGGGAUUUACUACCCUUUUUACCUCAUAUUAUACGUACACGUAUACACGGCACACACAUCCAUCGCUCUCAUAUCUAUUAUCAUAUUUUACACGAGAGACUCGAAAACAGCCCAACACAGAGAGGGUAUGAUUUAUGGACGGACUUCCGGCUAAAUAAACAGAUCUCAUUCUUUCGCACGUAAAAACAUUUUUUUCUUUCUCUCUUCGUGAAAAACUCACCUGUUCCGGUAUCGGUAUGCGAUGGACGGAAAAGUUGACGCCGUGAUCCGGUCUACGUCGGUAUAAACUCUCGUCUGGAAAAAAUAAAUUGAAAAACCAAAAAUUUAAAGCACUCGAUAAUUUCUUAUUCUCUUGUAUCGAUUAUCACUGUGAUUUGUACGUGCACGUAUUUUCAACACGAACUUCGACGCACUGGGAAGUAUUUUUUAUCAUUCGAUAAAAACCGUUUCGAGAGGAAUGAAAAAUAGAAAGAAAGAAAGAAAAAGAAAGAAAAACGAAAAACUACGGAAGCGAUUUUCGGAGCGUUAGUAUAUUAUAACACCGCGUCGCUUCGUUUCCGUCUGUCAAGUGAAAGCGGCAGAGAUGCACACGUGGCGGGAUCAGCGGCAGCUCUUACGGAAGAUAGAAAUCCCCUUGCCAAUACAGAGCAAAAUCCACCCACGCGCGUCUCUUCAACCCCCUUGUACAGAAGAAUCGCGCCCAAUCAGGAUCCCCCGUCCUCGUGGCGUGUAUAGCUGGUUACGUAUGUGUACGUGGCGUAUAUACAUACAUACAUACAAUAUAUAGAUAUAUUUUCCACCCCGCGUAUAUCCAAACCGACGCCGCGCCUGGACUCCCAUCGCGUCGUACGGUGGUGGGUACCGCGUGUCCGUGGAAUUCGCUUUUCGUCGUCAUGACAACUUCAGAAGAGUCAGAGACGCACGGAACAUUUUUUUUUUUUCACAUUCGCUUCGGAGCGAACUCACAUCUAGGUAUUACACCUGCACCGGUACACCGCGCAUACCCUUUUUUUACACACUCGGCGUAUCGAAGCAGAGAUCAAAAAAUUUCAUUUGGUUUUCAGCGGUUUUCUCGUUUUCGAAAAUUUCGGA
rnacentral:misc_RNA from 1 species